rnacentral:lncRNA from 1 species
GCAUGUUGGCGGUUUUCACAAGGCAGCCCAGACUCAGCAGCGAGAACACCGAGAACGAAGCAAGCCUGUUUUUCUAAAAAUGCCUGGGUUAGCUGAAGAAAAAGAAAAAUUACAAACUUCAUGCAAAUGGCUAUCGUCAAAAAACAGGAAUUUCUCAGAGCUCUCUGGAAGGGUCUUGAAAAAAAGUCCAGAUGAAUUCUACAAUAAAAUGACUCAGGCCGAGGUCCAGGAUGGAGACCACACUUUCAAAGAGAGCAAGGAAGAAGGAACAGCAGGGCAGCUAAAGCUGGUGAGAAGUCAGGACAUCAGUACAUAGAGAUGAAAGGGGUUGCAGAAGCAAAGACAAUUGAAAGACUGAAACCAGAGCGCCGUCUGCUGGAUUUACAGGGGAAGCAACAAAAUAAGCAUAUGUUGUGUUUUUGACACCAAAAAGAAAGUUGGACAGUUUGCCUUAAAGCGACAAAUUUAAGACCAUAUAAUUAUGAAAUAAAUAUUUUAUGUGCCUUGUCCUUUAAA